rnacentral:rRNA from 1 species
UACGGGGGGGGGCACGCGUUGUUCGGACUUACUGGGCGUAAAGCGCACGUAGGCGGCUUUGUAAGUUAGAGGUGAAAGCCCGGAGCUCAACUCCGGAAUUGCCUUUAAGACUGCAUCGCUUGAAUCCAGGAGAGGUGAGUGGAAUUCCGAGUGUAGAGGUGAAAUUCGUAGAUAUUCGGAAGAACACCAGUGGCGAAGGCGGCUCACUGGACUGGUAUUGACGCUGAGGUGCGAAAGCGUGGGGAGCAAACAGG